ensembl:lncRNA
AUUCUGAAUGUUUACUCAAUGAGGAACCUUUAGGCUACAUUAUUUCAGUUACUGUGGUCCAGGGGUCAAUCAUCUCAGAGAUGGGACAACACCCCCCCAGAGAGCACCUCCUGUUGGCUGCACAGGGGAACUGCACCAUCACAAGUAGCUGGUCGUCGCUCAAAGAGGCCGUGACGGAGGGAGGACUGAAGGCUUGACGGAGGGGGAGAGAGGGUGUUCAUUUUCACAUUCAACAUCAAAAAGGUGACACUACUUUAACAAAAAAACGCGUUAAACCAAG